AUAUGGCCUCAUUAACAAAACAAAGAAAACCCUAUUCCCAGAUGGGAUCACACCCACAGGUGUAGGGGUUAGGAUUGGAGGGUGCACUUCAAUCCAUAACAAGAGGGAACCAGCAAGAAAGACCCAGAUGGAGCAGCCACAGGGAAGAGGAGACCCAAGAGUGAAUGAUGUCCCCUGCGCCAGGUGAGUAGAUGAUGGGUCAGGUCAGCGUCAGUGAGGGGCCUGAGGGCUGACCUUGGGAGCCCCAGGCGACCUUGGCCAGUGCAGGCUGGGUGCUUUGUUGGGCGUGAAAACCUGAUCAUUGUGGGUUUCAGAGAAAAACAGAAAAAUUGGAGACAUGAAUAUAGACAACUUUUCUCAAGGUGUUUUUCUGUGAAAAAGAAGCAAAGAAAUGGGACUAGAGCUGGAGGUGAUGUGAGGUCAAGAGAGGGUGGUUUCUUUUUCAUCGGGAGCCAUGACUACAUGCAUGGGUGCUAAUGGAUCAGUCCCAUGGAGAAGGAGAUGCUGCAGCGAAGUCCUUGCAUAAUACAUGGGUUUGCGGUCCAGGUGAAGAGGCUGGCCUUCGACAGAAGUGGGGAUCACCCAUCACAGACAGGAAACAGGUAUGGCCCUCUGAGCAGGACUAUGAAAUGACCAUUUGCCACAUUGGAGCACAACCCACUCAGUCUUAUUGGGUGGAUUUACACACCACCUUUCCGACUAGUAAACCAACCAAUCCCUGCAAGUUCUUGUGACAUGAGCCUGCCCAAGUCUCUGGCCUGCCGCCUGACUUGCAGAUUUUGGAUUUGCCAACCCCACAACCACGUGAGCCGGCAGAGGCCUUCACCUUGCUGCCUGACCUACAGACUUUGG